AUCCCAUGAUGAGGACAGGCGGUGACGUAUUCCUGCAGUCUUUCCCAUGCUUCCGGUAUCAUCUCAUCUUUUGUCUACUGGAAACUGGAUAUUCUUCCACGAAGGGC
rfam:Oryza punctata chromosome 6, whole genome shotgun sequence.